GAACUGUCCUUCUGGAACGUCUGUGGCCUUAAUUGUAGGGCUAAGCGCACUGUUGUUCGCAAUGUAAUCUCAGCUGUUUCCCCGAACAUUGUCUGCCCCCAGGAAACUAAGUUGGAUUCCUUCUCGUUGCCCCAUGUCAUCGAGACGCUUGGUCCUUGCUUUGUGGAUUUUUUCUUUCUCCCGGCCAUUGGCACCCACGGUGGCAUUCUCCUUGCCUGGAACUGCAACAGGUCUCCAUCUCUAGUCCAUACGUUGGCCAGCACCACAUCACGACCCUUGUCUCCUCCACCUCCGGCGCGCACCCCUGGUGGAUCACCGGCGUGUACGGACCGCAGGAGGAUGACGAGAAGAUCCUGUUCCUUGAAGACUUGA
rnacentral:rRNA from 1 species